rnacentral:lncRNA from 1 species
UGGAGCUGAUGAGCGAGAAGGACUCCCUCCUCGGGGAUCUGGAAUAAGGUGUGGGCGGUGUGGUACCCAGAGCAGCCAGGUCCUGACCAGGCCCAGCUUCUGCCAUCAGCCCUCGCCCUCAUCAGGAGCCAGUGGGGCGCGGUGGGGCACGGGGUGCCAAAACAAUGUGGAAGCAUAAAGACAGCCAACUGUCAGAGCUGGAGGGACCUUAGGAACCGCGAGUCCAAUGCUUUAUGUUUCAGAAGAGAAUACUGAGGCUCAAAGAGGGGAGGGGAUGUGCACACAGCGAGUGGGUAACACAGCCAGGGGCUCCGGGCUCCUUGAUUAGUGUUCCUUCCACAUCCACACAAGCUGGAGAGCUCCAUUUGCAACAACCAAACCCUGAAAACAACCCCAAUGUCCACAGCAGGUAAAUGGAUAAACCAACUGAGUAUAUCCCUCCCGAGGACUACUUACUACUCAGCAACACAAAGAGAUGAGACAGUGAUACAGGCAGCCUGGACAAGAGGCAAAUCAUCAUGAGCUUCCAGCCGACAAGUCAGACUUCCUGGCGGUGGCAGCAGCAGCCCCAGCAGGAGGGAGGAGGAGCAGAGGCCUGCAGGAGUGUGCUGAGGCAAAGGUGGCACAGGUACCACCUGUCCACUUGGCUCCUCUACCUCCCAACAGCUGAGGAACCUCAGAAGAUCCAAGCCCCUCCUCCAGGACCCCUCCUCCCCCAGGGCUGGCUCCAGCCUCUAAGUGGAGGUGGGCAAGUGAAUAGACUCCCAGGAUGCUGGGGCCAGCUUUCUGCCCAGACCAGGCUGCUGUCAUACUGCUCCCACUUCAAGCAUCAAAAACGAACAGCAGCUGCCUUCACUCCAUCCUGCUCUGGGUGUUAAGAUGGACCCUGUAUCUACCAUACCUGGCCCCGCGUUUUACAGUCGAUCUCUUCAUCUGCAUCCUGAACCUAAGAAGCAGUUAAAAUCAUGCCCACUCUACAAAUGAGGGCUCCACACUUCAGCUAGGCCAGUGGGCUUGUCUAAAUUCCCACAACUAAAAUGCUCAGAUGAGGGAGCUUCGGCUUCUAAGCCAGGCUCAAGAAGGGCCCAGAAAGCGUGAGGGCUAGACGGAUCUUCAC